rnacentral:misc_RNA from 1 species
GAAAUGCGAUAAGUAAUGUGAAUUGCAGAAUUCCGUGAAUCAUCGAAUCUUUGAACGCACAUUGCACCCUCUGGCAUUCCGGGGGGCAUGCCUGUCCGAGCGUCAUUACGCACCCUCAAGCCCGGCUUGUGUAAUGGGCCCCGGCGUCUCGUUCGCGAGACGGGCCCGAAAGGCAGCGGCGGCGUCGACCCGAUGAGCCCGAGCGUAUGGGGACUUCUGUCACACGUUCGCGGUGCGGACCGGCGCCUGCUUGACUUUUCUGAUUAUCCAGGUUGACCUCGGAUCAGGUAGGGAUACCCGCUGAACUUAAGC